AGCCUGCCUGCUUGCUGUAGACACCGUGUCACACAGGCCCCCGCUCCGCCUGGAACCACAGCGCCACGUGCCUCAUGCAAGGGGAAGUGAAAGCUGAGAGAAGGUGUGGCUCUCGAGAACCUUGGCACUGCGUUAAUCCAAUUUCUGCAGUCCUGGAAGGAAGUGCUUGGUUCUCCGGGAACAGCCCUGCUGCCCUGGCCUCAGCUCCACCAGACCCUGAGAACCGCUUCUGAGCGGAGAUUGAGUCAGAAGAGAAAUCAGGGGGACAUUGACAAGAGAAGGACUUUAGAAUGUAAUUGAUGGCACCUGGAGGUUGUAAUU